rnacentral:rRNA from 1 species
GACGAACGCUGGCGGCGUGCUUAACACAUGCAAGUCGAACGCGCCUGUCCUCUGGGUUUCUGGGGGGUGGGUGAGUGGCGAACGGGUGAGUAACACGUGAGUAACCUGCCCCCUUCUUCGGGAUAACGGUCUGAAAGGGCUGCUAAUACCGGGUAUUCACUGGUCUCCGCAUGGGGUCUGGUGGAAAGGUUUUUUUCUGGUGGGGGAUGGGCUCGCGGCCUAUCAGCUUGUUGGUGGGGUGAUGGCCCACCAAGGCUUUGACGGGUAGCCGGCCUGAGAGGGUGACCGGUCACAUUGGGACUGAGAUACGGCCCAGACUCCUACGGGAGGCAGCAGUGGGGAAUAUUGCACAAUGGGCGCAAGCCUGAUGCAGCGACGCAGCGUGAGGGAUGGAGGCCUUCGGGUUGUGAACCUCUUUCGCCCGUGGUCAAGCCGCGACGUGGGUCGUGGUGAGGGUAGUGGGUAAAGAAGCGCCGGCUAACUACGUG